rnacentral:misc_RNA from 1 species
AUCUACUCCAACGCUGCCUCUCUCUUCUUUGAGUCUUUCUAGUCUUUUUAUUUCAUUUUCCUUUCAACUAUUCUCACUUCUCCCAUGCCACGAUCCCAAUCCGACAGUCCCACGCCAUUUCCCACACCACAAAUCCUCGACUAUAUCAUUCACAGUUCAAACUUCAAAGCCCUUGCACGUCGACUCAUCCCCAUUUCUCCAAAUGUAUUGUGCACGCAAAGCAAUCGACCUUCCUAGUUCUGUUGAUUCUCCUCGCUAGUGCCGUUUGUGGUGGUCUACUAGUCUGUUACGCCAAAGAGAGUCGUUUCCCUCUAUUGUGGGUUCUUUUAUAGUUCGUUAAUUGUGGGUUCUUUUAUAGUUCGUUAAGUAGUGUUCUGGUUAUGUCACUGUUGGGCAAGUAUUGUUUUGAAUCUAAUGCUUGGGUGAGUAUUAUAUUGAAU